rnacentral:tRNA from 1 species
CGACAACGACGGGAUUCGAACCCGCGCGCGUGGACGCAUCUCAUUAUAAGUGAGACCCCUUAACCACUCGGGCACGUUGUC